GAUGAACGCUGGCGGCGUGCCUAAUACAUGCAAGUCGAGCGAACAGACGAGGAGCUUGCUCCUCUGACGUUAGCGGCGGACGGGUGAGUAACACGUGGAUAACCUACCUAUAAGACUGGGAUAACUUCGGGAAACCGGAGCUAAUACCGGAUAAUAUAUUGAACCGCAUGGUUCAAUAGUGAAAGACGGUUUUGCUGUCACUUAUAGAUGGAUCCGCGCCGCAUUAGCUAGUUGGUAAGGUAACGGCUUACCAAGGCAACGAGGCGUAGCCGACCUGAGAGGGUGAUCGGCCACACUGGAACUGAGACACGGUCCAGACUCCUACGGGAGGAAGCAGUAGGGAAUCGUCCGCAAUGGGCGAAAGCCUGACGGAGCAACGCCGCGGGAGUGAUGAAGGUCUUCGGAUCGUAAAACUCUGUUAUUAGGGAAGAACAAAUGUGUAAGUAACUAUGCACGUCUUGACGGUACCUAAUCAGAAAGCCACGGCUAACUACGUG
rnacentral:rRNA from 1 species